rnacentral:rRNA from 1 species
UACAGAGGGGGCAAGCGUUAUUCGGGAUUAUUGGGCGUAAAGGGCGCGUAGGCGGCUUUGCAAGUGACGGGUGAAAGCCCUCGGCUUAACCGAGGAACUGCCUGUCAGACUGUAAGGCUUGAGACCGGGAGAGGUGAGUGGAAUUCCCAGUGUAGCGGUGAAAUGCGUAGAUAUUGGGAGGAACACCAGUGGCGAAGGCGGCUCACUGGACCGGAACUGACGCUGAGGCGCGAAAGCGUGGGGAGCAAACAGG